UACGUAGGGGGCAAGCGUUGUCCGGAAUUAUUGGGCGUAAAGAGCGCGUAGGCGGUCCGAUAAGUCGGCUGUGAAAGUCAGGGGCUCAACCCUUGAAAGCCGGCCGAUACUGUCGGACUAGAGUCCGGAAGAGGCAAGUGGAAUUCCCGGUGUAGCGGUGAAAUGCGCAGAUAUCAGGAGGAACACCGGUGGCGAAGGCGGAUCUCUGGGCCUUACCUGACGCUGAGGCGCGAAAGCUAGGGGAGCGAACAGG
rnacentral:rRNA from 1 species